UACAGAGGGUGCAAGCGUUAAUCGGAAUUACUGGGCGUAGAGCGCGCGUAGGUGGCUGAGUAAGAUGGGUGUGAAAUCCCCGGGCUUAACCUGGGAACUGCAUCCAUAACUGCUCGGCUAGAGUACGGUAGAGGGUAGUGGAAUUUCCUGUGUAGCGGUGAAAUGCGUAGAUAUGGGAAGGAACACCAGUGGCGAAGGCGACCACCUGGGCUAAUACUGACACUGAGGUGCGAAAGCGGGGGGAGCAAACAGG
rnacentral:misc_RNA from 1 species